rnacentral:rRNA from 1 species
ACGAACGCUGGCGGCGUGCCUAAUACAUGCAAGUAGAACGCUGAAGGAGGAGCUUGCUCUUCUGGAUGAGUUGCGAACGGGUGAGUAACGCGUAGGUAACCUGCCUGGUAGCGGGGGAUAACUAUUGGAAACGAUAGCUAAUACCGCAUAAGAGUAGAUGUUGCAUGACAUUUGCUUAAAAGGUGCAAUUGCAUCACUACCAGAUGGACCUGCGUUGUAUUAGCUAGUUGGUGGGGUAACGGCUCACCAAGGCGACGAUACAUAGCCGACCUGGGAGGGUGAUCGGCCACACUGGGACUGAGACACGGCCCAGACUCCUACGGGAGGCAGCAGUAGGGAAUCUUCGGCAAUGGACGGAAGUCUGACCGAGCAACGCCGCGUGAGUGAAGAAGGUUUUCGGAUCGUAAAGCUCUGUUGUAAGAGAAGAACGAGUGUGAGAGUGGAAAGUUCACACUGUGACGGUAUCUUACCAGAAAGGGACGGCUAACUACGUG